rnacentral:sRNA from 1 species
GACCCUUUCUUUUUUUUUCAAAAAAAAAAAAAAAAAAGAAAAAAAGAAAAAAUCCUUGUCUGGUCUGGCCAGCUUGGACUGAGCGUAGCUGUUCCAGCUGUGCUAUCCAGAAAUACUCUUUGUGUUUGACGAGGAAAAUUUGUGAUCGUUCCCCUC